rnacentral:rRNA from 1 species
AUUGAACGCUGGCGGCAGGCCUAACACAUGCAAGUCGAACGAGUGGCGGACGGGUGAGUAAUGUCUGGGAAACUGCCAGAUGGAGGUGGAUAACUACUGGAAACUGUAGCUGAUACCGCCUACCCUCGGCUUUGCCCGGAUGGGAUUAGCUUGUGGGUGGGGGAACGGCUCACCUAGGCGACGAUCCCUAGCUGGUCUGAGAGGAUGACCAGCCACACUGGAACGGAGACACGGUCCAGACUCCUACGGGAGGCAGCAGUGGGGAAUAUUGCACAAUGGGCGAAAGCCUGAUGCAGCCAUGCCGCGUGGAUGAAGAAGGCCUUCGGGUUGUAAAGUACUUUCAGUGAGGAGGCGUUACUCGCAGAAGAAGCACCGGCUAACUACGUGCCAGCAGCCGCGGUAAUAC